rnacentral:snoRNA from 1 species
UACAGUGUGUUGAAAUGUCUGCUGUGACUGGUUACAUGAUGAAUAAAACAAAAAUCACCAUCUUUCGGCUGACAGCUGUG